GGUGAAUGUGUGCUGUACAGGUGUGGACAGUGUGACCUGCUGUGAGGCUCAGUUAAUUGUGUGAGCAGGAAUGGAAGCUGCUUGCGAAGGUCAAGUCUGGAAUGUGCUCAGUAAUGAAAGUAAGUGGUGCAUGGAACAUGAGAACAUGAACAGGCCGAGAGCAGAGGUGGCCCAAGUCAGUCAUUGCGCAAAGGAGGAAACCGAAGCCCAGAGAGGAAGGCAAGUGACCCAGGACGGCAGCCACUGAGUGGCCACAGAGUCACACCUGGACUCUGAAUCUUCAGACUCCUGGGCUGAGCCUCACAAGCCUCAUCUUUUGAUGUUGGGCAUAAAGGGCUGCACAGCAAUGCAGUCGGGUAGAACUGAGCACAGGCCUCAGCUUGGCAAAUGACCCUGAAAAGCUGCGGGGACGAUCAGAAGAUAAUAUGUGUCAGGCACUUCACACAGUGUCUGGGCCACAUUAGGUGCUCAAAAAGGGGCUGUCCACAGAAGAAGUCCACAUAGCGUCGUCCCAAGAAAAAUCUGUGUGCUGUGCCCGUGCAUUCACCAGCAUUAAGCCCACAAUUACCCAGUGUCCACUCCUUGAAGACAUGUGGUAAAGGAUCUUUGAUCAAUUUAAAAGUGAGUUUAGUAGCCAUAGAUACAGUGACUGCAGCU
rnacentral:lncRNA from 1 species